AAUUGGACCAGCAAACAGCUGAAGUACAAUUGAAAUUACAUCGGUUCCCCCUCAAACAGUGAAGCCCUUUAUAGUCCAUAAACUAAGCAUGCAGAGACUUCCUGAAGAUCGAGAUGCUCAUUGGGUUGACUUGGCAUGACUCUGGUGGGAUGUAAAUGAAGUCUUCAUUCAGAAGGUUAAAAUAGUGUCUUGGAUGGGAAGUUUGAAUUAUGUAACAAACAAUGUCAGGUUUUCAGAAUCUUCUGCAAAAACCUGCUGCUGGGACCCUAAGAAGAAAGGGACACUCAAACACAGAGAAGAAUCAGCUCCUGUUGAAUUUCCAGAAAGUCAGUCACUGUCCUCCAUCACAAAGACUGAAGGAGGUGCUCCUUUCAUUUUGUAAUUCUCCUUUGCCUCAGGGUAAUAUUUGGCAUAUGCUUGACCGAUUGAUUCUUCUGCUUCACAUGGACUGAAAUGAGCUCAGUUUAUGGUGUUCAGCUGGCAAUUUGACUGGUCUGCAGGAUCCUAGAUAGCUUCACUCACAUGACUGAAACAUUGGUAAGGCUGGAUUUGGCUAACCCCAUCUCACAUAGAAGCUGGGCUCAGUCAGGCCCUUCUCUCUGCACGUAGUCUCAAAGCCCGUCCACGAGGUCUCUCCGGAAGGUUGCCAAACAUCUUACCUAUCAUCCAAUGGCUUCAAAAGGCAAUGUUCCAAGGGAUAGGAAAUGAAUGCUUCCAUUUUUUAAGCCCAAGUCUUGGAAAUUGGCAGUGUCAUUGUUGCCAUAUUUUAUUAGUUAAAGCACUAACAGAGUCUCUACUCAGAUUUCGGUGGAAAGAACAUAGACACCAUUUCUUAACAAGGAAAGUAUCAAAGUAUUUGUGGCCCUAUUUAAUCUGCCACAUAAAGAAAGUUAACAGUGAAGCCAAGAGUUGAACCCAUAUCUCCUGCAUCAGAUGCAUGCAUGUGUCAUUAUAGCAUUCAUUCAUUCAUUCAUGAUUCAACAAACAUUUCUGGACUACCCCGUUCCACUAGGCAUCCUAUUAGAUGCUAGGACUAUAUAUAAACAUUAAAAAUAUAUAAACACUAUUCUGAGUUAGCCCACAGUUUAACAAAGUCAGCAGAUAUGUUUACAGAUCAUGCUAUAUGCUAAUAGAGAAGUGUGCCAAAUGCUGGGGGAACACAGAAGAGGGAGGAAAUAUCUGCAGUGGGGAAGAGAGUGUAUCAGGAGGGCUUCCCAGUGAAAUGAUCUUAGAGUGAGUUUUAAAAGCUGAAGAGAAUUUGUUGAGGAAACAAUGAAAGACUUUCUAUGCAUAGGCCAAGGGGAGGCAGGGUGAAAGAGCGCGGUAUGUUUGAAUUCAUUGAAUUCACAUGGUUGCUACAGAGGAUGUGAGAAACACAAACCACUAAGAAACUAUUAAAUGUUUUUUCCUAAGGCAAUUAGAGAGAUAUAAGGAGAAAGUUAUUGGAGACUUCAACUCAAUAUAUUUCUACUUGAUGAAUCCAAGAGUUGGGACUCCAAAGCUUUUCUUUCUGUGUUCCCAUAUGCAACCCUCCCACCCCCAUUUCUUCAUUAAAUCAUGGCAGGAGGAUUAGAAGAAAAUAGGUCAUUUAGUGUUCUAUAUUUACAUCCAGCAUAUAAACUUGUCUUUCAGCAAGUAUACAAGUCUGGUACGACUAUAUGUGAGAAAUAUUAAUCAUGUCUUUUCACAUGGUUAUUUGAAAACUACACAUUGAGCCUGGCCCCAGUACUUGCUGGAGUAGAGAUUGAUGUGGUACAACUAAGACGUUAUUUUACUUGGCAUCAGACUCCAGCACACUAAGUCAGUGGUCCAUUCCACUAACUAUCCUCUAUGAUGCCUUUGUGAAAAUUAGAAAAAGCUACCCUUUCUGGGCAGAUAUAGCCCUACAUCAGGUUUCAGUGACUCAGGAAGUAGAGUAAGGUCUGAAUUUUAGUUGCCACUUGUUUCCUGGCUUGAGCACCUUUGUGACAUAUACAAGAUGUGAAAUUCUAUGUUCUGGCCUUGCCUGAUUAUUGGUAUUCCAUUGUUAAAUUCAGAAUAAAGCCUGUGGACACAGACCA